AGUGAACGCUGGCGGUAGGCCUAACACAUGCAAGUCGAACGGCAGCACAGUAAGAGCUUGCUCUUACGGGUGGCGAGUGGCGGACGGGUGAGGAAUACAUCGGAAUCUACUUUUUCUUGGGGGAUAACGUAGGGAAACAUACGCUAAUACCGCAUACGACCUACGGGUGAGAGCAGGGGAUCUUAGGACCUUGCGCGAGUGAAUGAGCCGAUGUCGGAUUAGCUAGUUGGCGGGGUAAAGGCCCACCAAGGCGACGAUCCGUAGCUGGGCUGAGAGGAUGAUCAGCCACACUGGAACUGAGACACGGUCCAGACUCCUACGGGAGGCAGCAGUGGGGAAUAUUGGACAAUGGGCGCAAGCCUGAUCCAGCCAUACCGCGUGUGUGAAGAAGGCCUUCGGGUUGUAAAGCCCUUUUGUUGGGAAAGAAAAGCAGCAGGUUAAUACCCCGCUGUUCUGACGGUACCCAAAGAAUAAGCACCGGCUAACUUCGUG
rnacentral:rRNA from 1 species